AUUCCCCUAGUAACUGCGAGUGAAGGGGGAUUAGCCCAGCACCGAAGUCUGUGGUUGUUUGACUACUAGACAAUGUGGUGUUUUGGUGGGUCCAUGGUUUAACUGCUCCACCUCAAGUCCGGCAAUGAGUACGGCUGCUGGAUUGGCCCAGAGAGGGUGAAAGGCCCGUGGGGGUGGAGUUCAGGCUAGACAGUUAAGCCCUGGGCCUACCAUGGAGUCGGGUUGUUUGUGAAUGCAGCCCAAAGUGGGUGGUAAACUCCAUCCAAGGCUAAAUACUGGCACGAGUCCGAUAGCGAACAAGUACCGUGAGGGAAAGUUGAAAAGUACUUUGAAGAGAGAGUAAACAGUGCGUGAAACCGCUCAGAGGUAAACGGGUGGAGUUGAACUGUAAGCCCUGAGGAUUCAACUAAUGAGGAUGGUCUGUGCUUGGGCAGGCUGGUUGGCAAUCAGAGUCUGAGUGAAUUAUCAGGCCCCUUUCCCUUGUUGGACUGGGGUGUGCGAUGCACUUAUCAAGUGUUGCGCGCUCUGGUGUGUCCGGGCCAACUCGUUAGUGCACUUUCUCAGGGUGAUCACCACGACCGACACUGCUGUCUAUCUAUCACAGUCAAACCGGUCAGAUUUGGUCGAUACGAUCAGAUUUGGCCGGGAUGGCAGGUAACUCACUUGGUCGGGUUCACUCGGUCAUUUGAGCGUAAUUAGCUGGCUAUGAUGGAUUUGUACGGUGUGUCGGAGGUUGCGGCUUGUGUGUGCAUUGGUGCUAAUCGGGCGCCUGCAUUAAGCCUGGCGGGUAUGUUUAUCAGACCUGUUGGUAACUUGAUGUAGUGCGCUCGGUAGUGGCCUGUGUGACACUUAUUUGGCCUAUAGUCUGUGGUGCUGUGGUAGACUAUCCACCCGACCCGUCUUGAAACACGGACCAAGGAGUUUAACAUGUGCGCGAGUCAUUGGGUGUUACGAAACCCAAAGGCGUAGUGAAAGUGAAGGGUCGGCUUGCCCGAUCUGAGGUGAGAUCCUACUGUGUUCAUUAAUUGGCACUACCAAGCAAUCAAGCAGUAGGCGCAUCACCAGCCCGUCUCAUGGCGUAGUCAUAUGACCUUGUUGUUGUGUGCACCGUCGGGGCGGAGCCGGAGCGUACACGUUGAGACCCGAAAGAUGGUGAACUAUGCUUGCGCAGGUUGAAGCCAGAGGAAACUCUGGUGGAGGACCGUAGCGAUUCUGACGUGCAAAUCGAUCGUCUAACGUGAGUAUAGGGGCGAAAGACUAAUCGAACCAUCUAGUAGCUGGUUCCCUCCGAAGUUUCCCUCAGGAUAGCUGGCAUUCGGAGAUUAAAACAGUUUUAUCCGGUAAAGCGAAUGAUUAGAGGUAUUGGGGAUAAAACAUCCUCAACCUAUUCUCAAACUUUAAAUGGGUGAGAAGCUUCACUCGCUUAAGUGGAGUGAGGCGUUGAAUGUGAGUGCCAAGUGGGCCAUUUUUGGUAAGCAGAACUGGCGCUGUGGGAUGAACCAAACGUCCGGUUAAGGUGCCUAACGCAACGCUCAUGAGAUACCACAAAAGGUGUUGGUUGGUCCAGACAGCAGGGCGGUGGCCAUGGAAGUCGGAAUCCGCUAAGGA
rnacentral:rRNA from 1 species